UUGAACCUGAAGUUGGUCAAUUGAUAAUUACUUGUUGGUUUGAAUUGCAUAUCUACUUAAUCAACUUGUUUAAUCAGUUGUUGAGUCAUGUUUAGCUUAUGUUUAUUAGCUUACUAUUAAUUCAGUUUAGUUUAUUGCUAUCUGUUAAACGUUUGGUUUUGAUAUGAGAAAGAGGGCAAUAAUUUUGGGUAUAGGGUAGUAAAACAAUGAGUUAAAAGAAAAGGUUAAACGAAGGGUGUUAACAUAGACUCGAGGGAGUAAAAGGAAAUAAGAAAAUGAGAGAAAACUUCUAGAAAGGGACUACUGUCUUAAUUUGUUAGAAAAGAUGCAGAAAUUAGAUACAGCUCUCCAUUUUCUGGUACAAAAAGAUGCCAUUUUCCUGAAUUUAAGGGAAGGCUGGUAGAUUCUUUGGAGCUGAUCUGAUUCCUUCAUAAAGCUCUCAUAUAUUCUAUAUAAUAGAGGAAUUCUUUGCAGAUUUUACACACAGUAAAAUCCCAGAAAAAUCUAAAAUUUCCUUUUCAUUUAACACUGAUCCUGCACUGAUUUUUUAGAGUCCUCUUUUCUUCACUUUCAUUUUAGCAAAGAAAAUUCUGGAAAACCAACUCUGGGAUUUCAGAAACAAAAAUAAAAAUAAAUACUCUCUGAAAAUCUGAAAUUUCACACGUUAACAAGAAGAAAUCUGGGCAUUUCUGGAAAGAAUCAGUGUUCAUCGACACUGUUUCAUUGUUUUUCUUUUGGUUCAUUUCUGGAUUUUUGAGAUUGAGCUUCAAAGCAUUCUUGUGUUGUUUCUACUGUUUGUGUGCUUGCUGUUGCUUCUUCUCAGAAUUUCAGAGAUUUAUUUUCUCUUUUACUUACCUUUGUUGCUUUAAGAUAUUGUUGGUGGUCAAGUGAUUUCUGAGGGUAGCUCAGUGGCUAUCUCAUUGUAAAUCAAGAUCAACAAGGAGAUUGAAAAGUCACUAGCUUAAGUCAUUUUUUCUUUCUUCCUGGAAAGGUGUAAAAGAAGACAUCAUUAGUUUCGAUUAAUCAACCUUGUAAUUUCAAUUGUCUAUUGUUAAUUGAUGUAAUCACAUGACAAAUCAUGAACCAUAUUCAUUUUUAUUUACAUAUUUUGUUUGGAUUUGGAAAUUAAUGUUAGACCUCCAGAAUUUAUAAAUUUGGGCCCUUUUAGCGUGAUCAA